GACGAACGCUGGCGGCGUGCCUAACACAUGCAAGUCGAACGGAGAUAUGCGAACGAGGCCUUCGGGCGGAGAUUGCAUAUUUUAGUGGCGGACGGGCGAGUAACGCGUGAGCAACCUGCCCUUCAGAGGGGGAUAACGGCUGGAAACGGCCGCUAAUACCGCAUGACAUAUACACAAGGCAUCUUGAGUAUAUCAAAGGAGGAAUCCGCUGAAGGAUGGGCUCGCGUCCGAUUAGCUGGUUGGUGAGGUAACGGCUCACCAAGGCGACGAUCGGUAGCCGAACUGAGAGGUUGAUCGGCCGCAUUGGGACUGAGACACGGCCCAGACUCCUACGGGAGGCAGCAGUGGGGGAUAUUGCACAAUGGAGGAAACUCUGAUGCAGCGACGCCGCGUGGGGGAAGAAGGUCUUCGGAUUGUAAACCUCAGUAGUCAGGGAAGAAGCAAGUGACGGUACCUGAAGAGUAAGCUCCGGCUAACUACGUG
rnacentral:rRNA from 2 species